UACAGAGGGUGCAAGCGUUGUUCGGAAUUACUGGGCGUAAAGCGUGCGCAGGCGGUGAUGUAAGACAGUUGUGAAAUCCCCGGGCUCAACCUGGGAACUGCAUCUGUGACUGCAUCGCUGGAGUGCGGCAGAGGGGGAUGGAAUUCCGCGUGUAGCAGUGAAAUGCGUAGAUAUGCGGAGGAACACCGAUGGCGAAGGCAAUCCCCUGGGCCUGCACUGACGCUCAUGCACGAAAGCGUGGGGAGCAAACAGG
rnacentral:rRNA from 1 species